GUUAUAGUUUAUUUGAUAAUCAAAUUUACAUGGAUAACCGUGGUAAUUCUAGAGCUAAUACAUGCUGUUAAGCCUGACUUUGAGGAAGGGCUGUAUUUAUUAGAUAACAAACCAAUAUUCCUUGUGUCUAUUGUGACGAUUCAUAAUAACUGAUCGAAUCGCAUGGGCUUUGCCCGCGAUACAUCAUUCAAGUUUCUGCCCCAUCAGCUUUCGAUGGUAGUGUAUUGGACUACCAUGGCUUUCACGGGUAACGGAGGAUUAGGGUUCGAUUCCGGAGAGGGAGCCUGAGAAACGGCUACCACAUCUAAGGAAGGCAGCAGCGCGUAAAUUACCCAAUCCUGACUCAGGGAGGUAGUGACAAGAAAUAACGGACCGAAGCCUAUGUUUCGGGAUUGCAAUGAGUAGAAUUUAAACCCCUUUACGAGGAUCAAUUGGAGGGCAAGUCUGGUGCCAGCAGCCGCGUAAUUCCAGCU
rnacentral:rRNA from 1 species